UCUUCCCUAAAAUUUUCCCUAUACAGAUACUGACAUUGGAGUAAUGUUUUGUCUACUGACAAUAUGUUUGAAUUUCUUUUUCCAUUUGUUUUACUCCAAAGUAGAAAUACUCUUAUCUCAUAGGGAAAACCACUGAUCUUCACCUAGAAUUUGUGCUACCUAAAGGUUUGUUCUAGUAAAGCAUUUACUUAAUUUCAAAAUUGCUAAUUUAUAUAUUGAAUUAUGCUAAUAAUAUAGCAUAAUUUAUGUAUGUGUAUUUAUGUAUGCUAUAAUAUAGCAUAUAUUUGUAUGCGUGCCUUUAAGUAAGGUAGCUAGGGUUUGAAUUGGUGGAGAAGAUAGUUCUUGGUCAGUGCUAAAUCCACAUCUUAUCUACCUGCUAAAACUUUGAUUUUUGGUGUGGAGAGAGUAGCAUGAUCAAAGUGCUGGCUGUGUGGGAGUGUUGGUUGGAAGGAAUUUUUGGGGCUUAUCAGUCCAGGUGUCUGCUCGGGAUUAUGAGCAACAGUAGCUUGCUGUCUGUGGCUUAGCCUGCAGAGUCUUGAACACCCCUGAGAGCAAAGAUCAUCACCAAACCACCUUGCCAGGUGUGUUUUCUAAUGUCCAGUCUGAAGCUUCCAAGCUGUUACUUAUGAUGCCCAGAAGAGUUUGCUUCCAUGUUUAUGUAAUGUGCCUUCAGCUUUACUUAGUAUGUGAUUACCCCUAGGCAGCCUCCUUGUCAUACUAAAGAAACCCAGCUCCCAAACCUUUCAUUAUCAAGGCUCUGUGCUAUUUUACUGACUCCUGCCAGGUUCUCAAAUUCCUUUUCCGCCUGGGGGACUUGAAAUAGAACACAGUAUUUGAGCUUCAGUCUCACCAGCAUUGUGUUUCCUUUGACUGCACUCUUGGUUUCCCUGUUUGCAGUGAGAGCUGACUCCUGGCUUAUAUUCAACCUGACAAACAAUUUGAUCUCCAUAUCUGUCUCAUUAAGGCUGUUGUUCAACUGGUCUGAUCCCAGGCUCCACUGAAGCACCCAGGAGCACAAUUUUUCACUUUGCAAGGUUCCUAAGGUUGGCUUAUUCCUCAAGUUUAUCAAGGUUGUUGAUGAAGAUACUGUGUGAUAUUGGCUCCAGCCGUUGGUGGUGCUUACCUGCUACCAGCUGGAUGCUGAGCCAUCAAUUACUGCUCUUCAAGUUCAGCAGUAUGGCCUGUGGCCAUUCAGUCUAACAGGCCAUUUCUCCAACCCUCCUGUGGGAAACUGGAUUAGCCCUAGUCAAUAAAAACUGGACUGUGA